UAGGGAAUAUUGGACAAUGGGUGAGAGCCUGAUCCAGCCAUGCCGCGUGCAGGAAGAAGGCGUUAUGCGUUGUAAACUGCUUUUUGCCAGGGGAUAAAAAGACCGUGCGCGGUUAAUUGAAGGUACCUGGUGAAUAAGCCACGGCUAACUACGUGCCAGCAGCCGCGGUAAUACGUAGGUGGCAAGCGUUGUCCGGAUUUAUUGGGUUUAAAGGGUGCGUAGGUGGCCCUGUAAGUCAGUGGUGAAAUAUCUCAGCUUAACUGAGAGGGUGCCAUUGAUACUGCAGGGCUUGAGUACAGAUGAGGUAGGCGGAAUUGACGGUGUAGCGGUGAAAUGCAUAGAUAUCGUCAAGAACACCGAUAGCGAAGGCAGCUUACCAAGCUGUAACUGACACUGAGGCACGAAAGUGUGGGGAUCAAACAGGAUUAGAUACCCCUGUAGUCCCUGAGCGGGCUGGCAAGGCGCAU
rnacentral:rRNA from 1 species